AUGUGAAGUAGUGGUUGGUAAGACAAUAGUGGAAUGAGUAACAGAGAGAAGAAGAGGAAGAGAAAGUCUGGUUUUGUUUCUGAUGGACUUUCUUCUCAUUCACUUGUUUCUCUUUGUUCCAAUCCUUUUCUUCUUCACCUUUCUGUCUCUCCCUUUUCCAUUCCCAACCUAUUUUUGGGCUUGGAACUCACAGUUGUCUCACCCCGUGGCUGAUUUGGUUUUGAGGAAUGGGGUGAUAUAUACUAGUGAUGAUUCUCUCCCAUUUGCAGAGUCCAUGGCGGUGGCCAAUGGGAGAGUUCUUCGUGUUGGAAACCAUUCAUUUGUCAAGGAGUUGGAGGGACAUGGAACUCAAGUUUUGGAUCUUGGUGGGAAGGUUGUGGUUCCUGGGUUCAUUGAUUCCCAUGUGCAUUUCAUUGCUGGUGGAUUACAGAUGAUGCAGGUGGAGCUGAGAGGUGUUAGUAAAAAGGAAGAAUUUGUCAGAAGGAUCAAAGAUGCAGCACAAAGCUCAAAACAAGGAUCCUGGAUUUUGGGUGGUGGAUGGAACAAUGAUCUAUGGAAAGGAGAUCUGCCUGCUGCCUCUUGGAUUGAUGAUAUUACUCCUAAUAAUCCUGUUUGGCUUUCAAGAGUAGAUGGCCACAUGGGCUUGGCUAAUUCAGUGGCACUAAAGUUGGCUGGGAUUACAAAUGUAACAGAUGAUCCAAUGGGGGGGAUCAUAGUGAGGGCUGCUAAUGGAGAACCUACUGGAGUACUAAUUGAUUCUGCUGGGACACUUAUUACCUCACUGAUUCCCGAGGAUUCAGUAGAUGAUAGGAGGGAAGCAUUGCUUAGAGCAAGCAGUCUUGCCCUAACAAGGGGGGUGACCACGGUUGUUGAUAUGGGAAGAUAUUAUCCUGGCUUUUCACCUGAGCUUUCUUGGGAUGAUUUUUCAGAUGUUUAUCAAUGGGCUAAUUCUAUGUCAAAAAUGAAAAUUAGAGUAUGUUUAUUUUUUUCAAUGGAGACAAGGUUACGCUUGGUGGAUUUGAUUAACAAAGUUGGCCAUACCUUGAGCGAAUGGAUUUAUAUUGGUGGUGUUAAAGCUUUUGCUGAUGGGUCUUUGGGUUCCAAUAGUGCAUUGCUUUAUGAGCCAUAUGUUGAUGAGCCAGACAACUAUGGUUUACAAGUGACUGAACCUGAAGCACUUCUCAACAUGACCUUGGAGUCUGAUUUAUAUGGUCUACAGGUCGCUAUUCAUGCUAUAGGAGACAAAACAAAUGACCUUAUCUUGGACCUAUAUAGUUCAGUAGCUUCUGCAAAUGGUAUGAGAGAUCGAAGAUUCAGGAUUGAGCAUGCCCAGCAGUUGGCAGCCGGAACCCCUGGCCGAUUUGGUAAACAAAGGGUUGUUGCUUCCAUGCAGCCAGAUCAAUUGUUGGAUGAUGCUGACUCUACUAGCAAAAAGCUUGGCAAGGAUAGGGCAGACACAGAAUCAUAUUUAUUUCGGUCACUCUUAAAUAACAAUGCAUUAGUGGCAUUUGGUUCUGACUGGCCGGUGGUAGACAUCAAUCCCUUAAGUGGCAUUAAGACAGCAAUGAAGAGGAAGCCUCCCACUUGGAAAAGUGCAUGGAUUCCAUCCGAAUGCAUUUCACUAGAUGAUGCAAUAAAGGCCACAGAAAAAAUGGAAUUGAGGGAGACAUGAGCAGAAGUUUUCCAGGAAUAUAACAGUAACAUAUGUUAGAAAUUUUGGGUUUGCUAAAGUGUAAUUCAACUUCAAAAAACCAGUUUAUAAGUAAAAUUAGACAUCUGAAAUGUGAAGUUUGCAAGAUUGAACAUUAUGGAUAGUUCGAUAACCGUCUAAUAGCUAGUGGUAUGAAAGACUCAACAACAAUUACUGGAAAAGCUCUGGUAUUAUCUUAAAAGUUAGGGUAGAAUCUAAUUCAAUACUAUAAAAUGGUUUGCAUUAUAUAUUUUUGUUCGAUCAUAUACGUAAUCAAUGUAUGGUUUCCAGCAGGAUCUUAUAGAUAUGGUUUGUGGGAUUACCUAUUAACUCUAUAAUCAUUUGCAUCUCAGAGGACAAGUUCCUUAGCCCUCAUGCCUAUCUGAAUUUGGUAUGCAAAACAAUUAUAGUGUGUAUGGCUUUUAAAUAGUGGAGAGACCACUUCUUCAGUGCUUUGUACUUUACAGAAAUUUUCACCACAAUGCUGUGUUGUUCUUUUUGUUUUUUCUUCUGAUAGUGAUUACAAGGUACAUGCCCCACUUCUUCAUAGGACAUUUUUAGCAAGUGCAUUGUUUCAUUUCAUGUAAAUCUAGAUCUGCUUGAGUGGUGCACUACUAGUGCUCUUUCCUAAUAUGAUCAUAUAUCAACUUCAAGUUCAUCAUAUACAUGGUUUUCUUUUUCUAUUCUAGCAUGAUACUAAAACUCUCUCUGACCU